UACGCCUCCGGAAUUGCGAGCGGAGGCAGAAGUAGACAUGAGUAACUUACUGCCCCCGAAAUCCAAAGUAAGAUACAUGACGGCGUAUGAAGAUUUCUUAAAAUGGAAGGUUUACAAGACAGCAAAUAAGCAGACGAGCUGCUGACGGGAGCAGAUCCUCAUGUCCCAAGGAGCAACAUCGGAGUAAUCCGGUCCUUGAGAACUUGGAACACCUUAAGUCACGAGAAGCCAGAAGGAAACACCUUCCACAGGAUUCGUAUUCAAACCGUUCCAGCUUCCAGUCCGGCCCUGCGGCGCUUGGUGCCGAUAUUCCAAGCGCGUCGCCCGAAGGCCGCGCGGGCAGAUGCGCCGGGGAACAAGCGGAGCCUUCACUUAAACCACUUGCAAUAUAUAUAUUGUAUGUAACGCAAACGCAAACCAAUACGACCACUAAUACUAGAAUAAUCAUUUCAGUCUUUAGAAUAUAAUACUAGUGACUCUGUGUCUGCGAACUGUUGACCUUCACAAUAU